AAUUAUAAAACUUUUUAGUAUAAACUUUAAAUUUUAUUAUUGAUUUAUUCUAUAGGUAUAGAAAUAAUACUUCCAUGAUUGACAUUAAAAAUAUGUGAAAUUUCCAUCUUAAGAGUGUUGACAAGCUUAGCAAUAUUUGCAAUAGUUGCAAAUCUAUUUUCAUUUUGGUGAAGAAUGGCACUUAUAAUUAUUUCUUUUAUUAUCAAUUCAAUCAUGUUAUAGAAUUACUACUAUAAAAAAAAGUUACUGUAUUUUUAAUUUGAUAUUGUCAGCUGAAAUAUGUUCAAUAAUCCGAUUCUUUGGCACCUCCUGAAGUCCACAACAUGCCAACAAACCAUGAAUCCUUUACUCACAAGUUAUUUUAAAGGACAAUUUUACAAUUGCUCAAAUCAUAAACUUCGACAUUUCUCUACACUGUACUAGUAAAGACCCAUCAUCUCCAUGCAGGAAACAAUGCUCAAAACAUAAACAAACUUCUUCACAACAUGAGUAAGUGAGCUUCUCCUUAUGUACACUGCAAAGGUAUGACUGGAAAUAAGCACUGCACGCAAACAAUGAGCUUAAACAAACUGCGAUGGUGGUGGUGUUGCUGCUGGAGGCCUAGAGACAAAGACAAGUAUUAGCAUGAGGACAUUGCUAAAUGCACAGCUAGCCUUACUGGAUCACUCUUUAGCUACAGGAGCAACCGCAGCAGCAUCUUCUCCGCCAUCUACUUCGUCGUCUUCGUCUUAUGCUGUUCCCCCACCCAUGUUUGACCCAUACCGAAAUUUGCAACUGCCUGGCAUACCUGUGUCUUCCUCCCUCGCCCUUUCCACAUCACUGUUACAAGCUGCAGGCUCACUUGAAGCUUUGUCGUAUUUGCAACGAACAAAGACAGGAACCCACAGCCCCGCAAGCGUAACGCAGUCUGCACAUGUCCAAAGCCCUAAAAACUUUGAUGUAUCGAAAAGGAAUUGCAAUGACCACAACAGCAGACGGGCAAGGCAAUCACAUGGUACUAAAACCUCCGGAAUAGGAGAGGAUUUUGGAGAGGAAAUGCCUUCGGAAUCCAGAAAAUACCCUUCCCCGCAUGAACAUGAUGAUUUCAAUCGCAAGAAUGUUGAGGAUACAGCGUUGAACCUGGAGAAGAUCGAGCAUAGGGCGAAGGCGUCCAUCGAGAAAUUGAGGCAUAUUCUUCUUCGCGUCAAAACCAGAUCACCGAAGGAUUCAAGCUCUCCGACUGAGAGUCCUCGUGCGACGUGUGAAGAUGGUAUAUUCUAAUUUCCGUCAUAUGCCUACGAAAUUAAUUGAUUGAGUACAACCGUUCGAGACAGUUAUUGUGAUAAUUUGCAUGACCAUCUCCCGAUGAAUAGUUCGAUAAUAUGUAAGUAACCGCAAUUUCCAUUUCUAUUAUUCCUCUCUUUUUCAUAGGUCAAGAACAAACAAUUGAAACAUCAAAUGGAGGCAUUAUUCAAAACAACACAUGCUGUGGAACCCCGCCUCCUUCACUAGGAGUUGGCCAAAAUGGAAAUGAAACGAACUUGGAAAAAUCGACGCCGAAUGGACAAGAAAUCAGAGCCCCAGCUCUUCAAAAUCCUUACGAUACACAAUACGACGCAGUCACGUACACGAAAUCAACAGUGAAGUUCAACAAGGACACGAACACGGGAAUCGUGACGCUGGUGGCAACGGUGAAAGGGGAUGUGUUGGACCCGAGCGAGUACAUGAAGGAGAAGACCAUCAUCUUGGCGGCGCAGGCACUUUCCUGCGUGUGCGCAUCACUGGAGGCCAAGGCCAGUAGCCUUUCUUCACCUCAGAGUACUACGGAGACAGACGGCUGCUCAACCAGGAUGCGUCCGUGGCGCAUGCCAUCUUCAAGCCUUACAACGCCACGGACACCCACCGCUACUCCUCCGCCUCGCCCGACUGGGUCGCAUACCAAGUGUGUGCCUAACUCUCAGUGCCUCUCGUGUGCCUGACUGUCUGAUGCUUUGAGGCUCGUCUGUCUCCGUAGUACUCUGUCUUCUCUAGUGAGAAGGUUUUAGUCGUAUAGCCAUCAGUGCCCCUUGUUUUCA
rnacentral:lncRNA from 1 species